CCGUUAAUGCGGGAAAUAAAAAAAUAGAGUCUGCCGACAUCCGUCAGACUCUACAGUACACACAGCAGUGCUUCCUAAGCUUAUUCCCGAAGAAUUCGUCCUUGUGGGUUAAUUUAAGUUAUAGCAACCUGGCAAAAUAAUGCCAGUGACAAUA
rnacentral:misc_RNA from 1 species